rnacentral:misc_RNA from 1 species
AAGUCGUAACAAGGUUUCCGUAGGUGAACCUGCGGAAGGAUCAUUAACACGUGUAUACUCACGUAUUAAACUAAACGCGAAUUUGUUGUUAUAAGCCUAUUAUUAGUUCAAGCUGACUGUUUGGGAAUGGUGUGAUUACGGUGCUUCGCGCAUAGGGUCUAACUUACAGUCUUAGCGUGCUUGACACGCGGUUUGUUCUAAUAAUAGUAGAUACAAUUUCGGCUGCUUAUUAAGCCUGCACCUUGGCUUGCAGUCGGAGUGAAUAUUACUUACCCUUUAUUUCUAUUUACGUUAAUGUUGUCAUUGUAAUUGUUCAUAUUGUUGUUAUUAUUUUCGUUGCUGCUGUUGUCAUGCAACGGAUAUCUUGGUUCUC